GGAUGUGAGGGUGAUCUGGCUGCGACAUCUGUCACCCCACUGAUUGUCAGGGUUCCUUUGUCUGGGGGUGAUUGCCAGGGUUGAUUUGGCUGACCUGGCUGGCUAGGCGGGUGUCCCCUUCCUCCCUCACCACUCCACGUAUGUCCCUCCCAAAGCUGUGUGCUUGGUCAACGAGGAUGACCACCCCCAACAGAGGAGGGCCAGUCUUGCGGUCAAGGGUACACAAGUAGCUGGGCUCCCAUGUUAGAACCUUCAAACAAGCUCUCAAGAACAUGGAAAAUCUGAAACUCACAUUGCUGGUUGCUGGAAGGAAUAUAAAAUGCUGCAAACACUUUAAAAAGCAUUUUGGCAGUUU
rnacentral:snRNA from 1 species